rnacentral:rRNA from 1 species
CGGCGAGCGAAAAGGGAACAGCCCAGCGCCGAAUCCCCGGCCUCCGGUCGUGGGAAAUGUGGCGUUCGGGAGUGAGCGCGUCGGGUUCGGAAUCGGCGGCAAGUCCCCCUGACCGGGGCCUGUCCGUAGCGGGUGCGAGGCCCAUAGCCGCCGGAUCCGUCUCGAAUGCGAUCUCCUUGGAGUCGGGUUGCUUGGGAGUGCAGCCCUAAUCGGGUGGUAAACUCCACCUAAGGCUAAAUACCGCCGUGAGACCGAUAGCAAACAAGUACCGUGAGGGAAAGUUGCAAAGAACUUUGAAGAGAGAGUUCAAGAGUACGUGAAACUGCUCAGAGGUAAACGGGUGGGCCCUCGAAAUCCUGUGGCGAGAGGAUUCAGUCUGCGUGGGUGGACGUCUCGGAGGAAAACUCCGAGCAGGGCUUCUGCGGUGUGCAGGCCGUCUUCCGAGGCGACCUCGACCCGCGCAGACGCAUUUGUCUCUCGUCCCGAGGACGCUGCAGCCGGUCUGGGAGUGCAAGCGCGACGGCCUGAAGGGCGGGAAACGGCAGGUGGCCGGUGGUCGGACUCGUUCCUGCCGCCGGUUGUUAGCCUUCUCGUCGGUGGCUCGUCUCCAGACCGUGGUGUCGCCAGUCCCCCACUGGGGACUCUUCGUCUCCGCGCCUCGAAGCUGCGGAACGGGGCCCGGCCAGGAUCCCGCGCGCCGACCGCCGCACUCUUUCGGAGUGGGCGGACGGGCUGAGGGGAACCGAAUCGCCGGGACGGAUCCGCAAGGAGAUCGAAGGCUGGCAGCGAGUAGGUCGGUCACCCACCCGACCCGUCUUGAAACACGGACCAAGGAGUCUAACAUGUGCGCGAGUCAAUGGGUCUUGAACAGGCCCAUGGGCGCAAUGAAAGCGAAGGACCGCCUCGAGCGGUCCGAGUGAGGAUCCCCUUUCCCUCGGGAAGGGGGCGCACUCGCGACCCGUCCUAUUCGGCUCGCCGAUUGGGCGGAGUCUGAGCGUACACGUUGGGACCCGAAAGAUGGUGAGCUAUGCCCGGACAGGACGAGGCCAGAGGAAACUCUGGUGGAGGUCCGCAGC